UGCUGGAUAGCUCAGUUGGUUAGAGCAUGGUCCUGAUAAUGCCAAGGUUGCCGUAUGGAACAGCGGCAUAUUCCUGUAU